rnacentral:rRNA from 1 species
AAUCAACGCUGGCGGCGUGCCUCAGACAUGCAAGUCGAACGAUUAAAGCUCUCUUCGGAGAGUGUAUAGAGUGGCGCACGGGUGAGUAACACGUAAGUAAUCUACCCUCGAGUGGGGAAUAACAACCGGAAACGGUUGCUAAUACCGCANAAUGCAGCGGCACCGCAAGGUGACAGUUGUUAAAGAUUUAUCGCUUGAGGAGGAGCCUGCGGCAGAUUAGCUAGUUGGUAGGGUAACGGCUUACCAAGGCUACGAUCUGUAACCGGUCUAAGAGGACGGUCGGUCACACUGACACUGAAUAACGGGUCAGACUCCUACGGGAGGCAGCAGUCGGGAAUUUUGGGCAAUGGGCGAAAGCCUGACCCAGCAACGCCGCGUGAAGGAUGAAGUAUUUCGGUAUGUAAACUUCGAAAGAAUAGGAAGAAUUAAUGACGGUACUAUUUAUAAGGUCCGGCUAACUACGUG